rnacentral:lncRNA from 1 species
GUUUGUCUGUCUCUCUCUCUUUGGCAAAUGGUGUGAGCCAGUAGUGUAGUUCCCCUUUGGACUAUGAUUCUGACUCCUGACUGCUCUAUCAUGUUAUUGGACCUCACAGAAAAGGAUCAUUUGUCUCAGGGGACCAGCUUUUUAGUGAAACCUACAAAUCCUUUAGGUGAACCAAAGAUGAUUUCCCCAUUGCAUUGGUACAGUUGCCAUGAGAGCUGACAGAUCCAUUCUUUUGUCCCCCUUGGGUAGAGAGCCAGCCUCAUUUCUGUACCUAUCCAAGUUGGAUUCCCAGGGCUUAAAUACAAAUCACAGAAUGUGGCUCAUAUUAGUAAAUUUCCAUGGCUCCAAAAAGGUAGCAUUUGAACACCUUGAUUAUUGUAGGUACUAAAUAGAUUUAAUGGCUCUGUGACAGACUAAAUUCUUUGGAUACCAGCACAAGAAAGAGAUUCACUUCUGGGAGUGGGGAGGGGCACCCCUGUUUCUAUAAAAGCUCCAACAGAUCCUGGCCAAAUUCUGAGUCCUCUUUGAACAGGGUCUGCAUGGGAAAAGUGGAGUGGUGGAGAACAGAGUCCAGUUUGCAGCCAAAGCUCCAACUGUGGGAGAAAAACAGGGUUCAGCUCCCCAGAUUAGUUACUGUCUACAAGGAUUAAAGGCCCCAAAUAAUGGCUGGCUUCUCCCCUCCUCUGUGCCAAGGGAAGACAUGUAAAUACAGCCGCACGCCAGCUUAGUCAGUAGAUGUGUAUAAAUCGAAUUUAGCAAAUCAGAUCAUGGUUUAAAUGCACUAUUUAAAGCAGUCCUGCAGUGAAGCCUUUUACAAAGGGAAUAAUCAUUUUUGUGAUGCUAAUCAUCAGCCUCCAAUUUAUCUCCUUUGUAAGUUCAGAUGUUGGUGCACUGGGUGUUCUGAAAUUGGGGCGCUCUUGUGCAGGGCUCCAGUGAUGGCUGUCUGCCUUCUUUUUCAGAUCUCUCAUUUUAAAUGGGUGCAUGUCCUGUUUCUCACUGGGGGCCUCAGGAUCCUUGUCAGCUUGAUAGUUUUCAUCCAUCUCACUCAUCUUUUCAUAAUCUGAUAGAAUCUACCAUUCAGCCCCUCCUGGCUGCUUUUCUAAGAUUUUCACCCUUCCUGGGGUGUGAUACGAACCCUACUGUUUCUGGGAAGUUCCCCUCUGAUCAGGACCUUCUUUUGUUUCCUUGAGCUUCUGGUACCUCUGGUGUUGAUCAUAUACUCUCAGAAAUGACUAGAUGAUACUUAGCAGCCCCUGAAUUUAGAAGAUUUAUUAAAUGCAUG